AGUGAACGCUGGCGGUAGGCCUAACACAUGCAAGUCGAACGGCAGCACAGUAAGAGCUUGCUCUUACGGGUGGCGAGUGGCGGACGGGUGAGGAAUACAUCGGAAUCUACUUUUUCGUGGGGGAUAACGUAGGGAAACUUACGCUAAUACCGCAUACGACCUACGGGUGAAAGCAGGGGAUCUUCGGACCUUGCGCGAUUGAAUGAGCCGAUGUCGGAUUAGCUAGUUGGCGGGGUAAAGGCCCACCAAGGCGACGAUCCGUAGCUGGUCUGAGAGGAUGAUCAGCCACACUGGAACUGAGACACGGUCCAGACUCCUACGGGAGGCAGCAGUGGGGAAUAUUAGACAAAGGGCGCAAGCCUGAUCCAGCCAUACCGCGUGGGUGAAGAAGGCCUUCGGGUUGUAAAGCCCUUUUGUUGGGAAAGAAAAGCAGCAGGUUAAUACCCCGCUGUUCUGACGGUACCCAAAGAAUAAGCACCGGCUAACUUCGUG
rnacentral:rRNA from 1 species